GUAGUCCACGCCGUAAACGAUGUCGACUAGCCGUUGGGCUCCUUGAGAGCUUUGUGGCGCAGUUAACGCGAUAAGUCGACCGCCUGGGGAGUACGGCCGCAAGGUUAAAACUCAAAUGAAUUGACGGGGGCCCGCACAAGCGGUGGAGCAUGUGGUUUAAUUCGAUGCAACGCGAAGAACCUUACCUACCCUUGACAUCGAGAGAACUUUCCAGAGAUGGAUUGGUGCCUUCGGGAACUCUCAGACAGGUGCUGCAUGGCUGUCGUCAGCUCGUGUUGUGAAAUGUUGGGUUAAGUCCCGUAACGAGCGCAACCCUUGUCCCUAUUUGCCAGCGAUUCGGUCGGGAACUC
rnacentral:rRNA from 1 species